CCUACGGGGUGCAGCAGUGAGGAAUAUUGGUCAAUGGACGAGAGUCUGAACCAGCCAAGUAGCGUGAAGGAUGACUGCCCUAUGGGUUGUAAACUUCUUUUAUAUGGGAAUAAAAUGUUCCACGUGUGGGAUUUUGUAUGUACCAUAUGAAUAAGGAUCGGCUAACUCCGUGCCAGCAGCCGCGGUAAUACGGAGGAUCCGAGCGUUAUCCGGAUUUAUUGGGUUUAAAGGGAGCGUAGGUGGAUUGUUAAGUCAGUUGUGAAAGUUUGCGGCUCAACCGUAAAAUUGCAGUUGAAACUGGCAGUCUUGAGUACAGUAGAGGUAGGCGGAAUUCGUGGUGUAGCGGUGAAAUGCUUAGAUAUCACGAAGAACUCCGAUUGCGAAGGCAGUUCACUGGACUGCAACUGACACCGAGGCUCGAAAGUGUGGGUAUCAAACAGGAUUAGAUACCCGAGUAGUC
rnacentral:rRNA from 1 species